AUACGUAGGUGGCGAGCGUUGUCCGGAAUUACUGGGUGUAAAGGGCGUGUAGGCGGGAAUGCAAGUCAGAUGUGAAAUACCGGGGCUUAACUCCGGGGCUGCAUCUGAAACUGUGUUUCUUGAGUGUCGGAGAGGAAAGUGGAAUUCCCAGUGUAGCGGUGAAAUGCGUAGAUAUUGGGAGGAACACCAGUGGCGAAGGCGACUUUCUGGACGAUAACUGACGCUGAGGCGCGAAAGCGUGGGGAGCAAACAGGAUUAGAUACCCUGGUAGUCCACGCCGUAAACGAUGGAUACUAGGUGUAGGAGGUAUCGACCCCUUCUGUGCCGGAGUUAACACAAUAAGUAUCCCACCUGGGGAGUACGGCCGCAAGGUUGAA
rnacentral:rRNA from 1 species